rnacentral:rRNA from 1 species
AACGAACGCUGGCGGCAGGCCUAACACAUGCAAGUCGAACGCCGUAGCAAUACGGAGUGGCAGACGGGUGAGUAACGCGCGGGAACCUACCUUACGGUCGGGAAUAGCACAGGGCAACUUGGGGUAAUACCGGAUACGCGCUUACGGGGAAAGAUUUAUCGCCGUUAGAUGGGCCCGCGUAGGCUUAGCUAGUUGGUGAGGUAAUGGCUCACCAAGGCGAAGAUCCUUAGCUGGUCUGAGAGGAUGAUCAGCCACACUGGGACUGAGACACGGCCCAGACUCCUACGGGAGGCAGCAGUGGGGAAUAUUGGACAAUGGGCGCAAGCCUGAUCCAGCCAUGCCGCGUGAGUGACGAAGGCCUUAGGGUUGUAAAGCUCUUUUGGCGGGGAAGAUAAUGACUGUACCCGCAGAAUAAGCUCCGGCUAACUUCGUGCCAGCCGCCGCAGUAA